rnacentral:ncRNA from 1 species
GGACGCUGUAUGCGAUGAAAGUCGUACGUACAGUGUUAAGCGGGGGAAAAGAUGGAGAUAACUUCAAAGUCUUACCUAUCGCAAC